GCGUAAUAGCUCACUGGUCGAGUCGGCCUGCGCGGAAGAUGUAACGGGGCUAAACCAUGCACCGAAGCUGCGGCAGCGACACUAUGUGUUGUUGGGUAGGGGAGCGUUCUGUAAGCCUGUGAAGGUGUGUCGUGAGGCAUGCUGGAGGUAUCAGAAGUGCGAAUGCUGACAUAAGUAACGAUAAAGCGGGUGAAAAGCCCGCUCGCCGGAAGACCAAGGGUUCCUGUCCAACGUUAAUCGGGGCAGGGUGAGUCGACCCCUAAGGC
rnacentral:rRNA from 1 species